GGAGAUAGCCUCGUAGAAAUGACAACCACAAUGUUAAUACUAACAUAUGUAUUACAUGGUUUGUUUGUUCUUUCGCUUAAUAUUUUCAGAGCACCUACCUAUUAUAGGCACUGUCACUUCUCACAAAACUGGGACAACUAACUGUUUAUCCAACAUCUGCUGGCUAAAUAAAGACAUGAUCUUCACCUUUUGGGAUUGUUAAUUUAAAAUGGUUCCAUAAGAGCAAUGCAAAGACAGAGAUAUUUGGCAGCACUGCAGCUGGUGAUUUAUAUGGCUCUUCACAAGGUGUUAUUUUGGGGUAUCAAGGUAUGGAUGCUUAAAUCAGCUGCAGGAAGUAAGAAAGAAGAAAAAAGGAGUGAUAAAGAUAAAAAAAAAUCAACCUUGGUCCUUCCACCAAGACCCAUUAAUUUCCAUAUCAUCAUCUGCAUAAGAGGGAAGAUUCCUACAUGACCAGAUUAUAACGAAAGACAAAAUAUAUGCUGCAGUUGGGGUGGAGAAAUUGAAGGAGAGAAACACAGUGGCCUCAUUCAGGAUCAGAGCUUAACCAUCACGACACAUGGGUGAGGGGAAGAUAAAUCACUGUUCCUCCAGCAUCCAAAAAUAUAUCCAAUCCCCCAUUCUUCAUGGCCAUGUGGAAGAAAGAUCCUACUUACUGGUACACCCAUCAACAAAAAACAAACCCAAAAUGGAGAAGAGAAGAGGAUAUAUUAACCAUUACAUAUUUUAUAAACACUACAAACCCUGGCAAGUAACAUUUGUGAAAUUAGUGAAUGAAUGAAUUAAUAAAUGAACAUAAGUGUGAA
ensembl:lncRNA LINC01884 long intergenic non-protein coding RNA 1884